rnacentral:lncRNA from 1 species
AAAUGAGACAAUGAGAUUGAUUUUGCAGAGGCAAUGCACUUAGCAGCAACAGUUACUUAAUUAUAACCUCCUUGCAAAUGUCUCCACAACACUAGCCCUGCAUAUAAUCAGACAACAAAGACAAGUUCUUAGAUCUAUUGAUAAGACUUAUCUUAUCAUUUGGGGGAAUUUUGAAUAUUAAGAGUCUAGAGAUAAUGAUAAAUAAAUGUGGUCUUAUUCUUAUUUUUAGUAGUCCAUAUCAAAUAGUAUUGUUGAUGUCUCUCGUAGAUGUAGGUAAAUCAUAUCAAAUAAUUCUCUCUUUCUUCAUUCUUCUAUUUCAUAUGUUCUUUUAUAUUUGAUACAAGUGAACUCAUUUUCCUAGGUAGACAUGUAUAAUACAUACAUCUACUUAAAAAAAAUUAAGGAUAAUUACAGUCACCUCUCCUGUAUUUUCAAAAAUAACACUGACCUUCUUUAUUUUUAAAAUUAAUGUCAAGAUUCCCGCUAGAACUCAUUUUUGUGCAAAAAUAAUAAGUUUUUAAAUUUUUUUCAAUACAACCAUUAAGAUAAAUAAAUAUUCUCUCUUGUUAGAAAAAUAAUUGAUAAAUAAUUUAUUUUUUAAGUUUGUUUAGAUGAAGAUCACUUAAAAAAUAAAAUAUUCAGAUUAUUUUUCUACAAAAAAUUAUUGAUAUUAAAAAUUUUUUUUUGAGUACAUUUUUCAUUAGUUGUACUUAAAAAAUAAACCAUUUAGAUCAAUUCUUCUUUUAACAAAAUACUUAUUGAUAAAAAAUAAAAAUAAAAUAGUUUAUCCAAGUUUGUCAUUUUUGUACAAAAAUGAGCCAUAGGGAGAAUUUUGACAUUAAUUUUAAAAAUAAAAGAGGUCAAUGUUAUUUCUGAAACUAUUGAGGAGAAGGCUGUAUUUUUCAAAAGCCUCCUGAGAAGUCAGUGAAAUUUACCCAAACAAUAAUUAUAAAUUGAAGAAAAAUAUCACAAAACUCCAAUUGUUAAAAAUUAUGAAACGUUCAAUAUAGAACCGAUUAUAUAUACCAAGCCUGAGAUACUUAGAUAAGCGUUAUGGGACAAGUCUAACAUUCAUAAAACUAGAAGCAUCUACUAGCAAAAAAGAAACGAAAACAAAAUUCAGCUCUUCCAGACCAAAGUUCUUAAUGUCGUCAACCCAUAAUAUACCGGGAAUUUAAACUUAUCGAUACAUACAUGGGAGUGUUUACAGUACAUAUCUAAAAAAUGGUGCAUAUAGUGCGCCCUAAUAUAGCAUUAUGACAAUCAAUCAUAACAUUCACCAUAACCGAUCGCAAUAAAAAAAAUAUAACUUUUCUUUAUCACAAAAAACGUAAUAUUUACCAUAAUGAUGUAUAACACAUUAUUUUUUCAUUAUUUUUAAUAUACAUAUCUUCUAACAUUCACCACACACAGAUCAUAACAUAUUCCACGAUCGAUCAUAGCAUUUACCAUAAUUGAUCAUAAUAUUUAUACUAUAAAUUUUGUAUACAUAUAUUUACAAAUAUAUUGUCCACUACUAUACUUGCCAAUUUACCUAUAUAGGCACAAAUCCUGAUACCACUAUUUGAAACACUCUUCCAAAACCCCCAAACAACCUCUAUAGCUUAAUAGUGAAGAUAGAAGGCCAAUACAUGAUCCCAGCAAGUAUAGAUGAUAAAACUAUACACGUAUGACAUUCAUCAGGAUAUAUAAUUCCAAAAAAGAAAAGAAAGAAAGAAAAAAAUGUAAAGGACGUGAUUGACAAAUCAGCCUAACUCUGAUAAAAAAGAAAGAAAGACCAGGAACAUAAAUCGUAAAUUUCAUAAUCUUAUAUCAAAAUAAUGGGGAAUAAUUUAGGAUCUCUCACCUGAUAUGGUCACAGGAAGACGAUGAUGGAGAAUCAUGGAGAGAGAUUUGGGGAACGGGUGAUGAGAGAGAAGCACAUUAGAUUUUUUUGAAAAUUGACUUUUAGCUGAGUUUGACUCAAUGUGUGGUUAUGUGGUUUUGUGAACUUGACUUAAGCAUUGACAAAUUUUAAUUGAGAAGUUAUAUUCCCAGCAUCCCUUUUCCUCUCAUUUGCUAGGUCUUCCCUUCAAUUUCUCUUUUUCCAUUUACCAUCUACAUACACAUGCAGGUCCAACUUCUUUUCUCUCUCUUGCAUAACUCGGUGUCUGGUUCAAUAGACCGACUAAUUCAAAUGACUAAUCCCACCGUAUGUCUACAAGCGAGAUCCCUUUUAACUAAAACUGAGAAAAAAUCUCAUAUGAACUGACCCAAUACAAUAAUUGAUAACAUGCAGGUAAGAGUCAAAUCUCGAUUAAAAAUUUCACGAGGAACAUAAUGAUCAAGUAACUAUCAUUGCGCCAAUACCUGGGUUUAACAUUUAUUCUCUCGGCAUAGCAACCCACUCGAUGGGUGGAGUCAAGAUUCCGAUGUGUGGAGGGCACAUUUCUAAAAUGAUAUAUAUAUAUAUAAUAUAUAUAUAUAUAUAUAUAUAUAUUUGAUAAUUAAAAGAAGUAAUUAAAUUGAAGUGCAAAUGAAAAGUAAUAUGUAGAACACAUCUACGACUUUUGAAAUUCGGAACAUGUUUCAUGACAAUUUUAUUUAUUAUGUUAUUAAAAGAAUUAGAGGUCUGUACUUUGCCAAAAUCAUGUUAUACACCCAAAGAGAGUAAGAUAAGAAAAAUAAACUCCUUGUUGUUUUUAGGUUAUAUGUGUGUAUAUAUAUAUAACGCGUAACUUGAGUUUAUUCAAGUUAUUGUACCUCUCAUUUUAAAAAAAAAAAAUUAUUGAUAAAAAAUAAAAAUAAAAUAAUUUAUCCACGUUUAUCAUUUUUGCAUAAAAAUAACUUUUAGAGAGAAUCUUGACACUGAUUUUAUAAGUUAAAGAAGGCAAUAUUAUUUCUAAAAUUACAGAGGAGUUGACUGCAUUUGUGAGUUCAGUGAAUGUUAUCCAAAAAAUAGUUAUAAAUGAAGAAAAAUAUCACUAAACUCCCAUAAUUAAAAAUUAUGAAGCGUUCAACUUAAAAUCAAUUAUAUAUACCAGAGAAACAUAGAUAAGCAGUAUGAGACAAGUGUAACAUUCAUAAAACUGGAAGCUAUACCAACAAAAAAGCGACAAAAAUCAAAUUCAACUUCUUCCGGACCAAAGUUCUUAAUGUCGGUCACCCAUAACAUAACGGAAAUUUAAACCUAUCGAUUCUCUGAUAUAAUAUUAUCACAAUCAAUCGUAAUAUUCAUAACAACCGAUUGUAAUAAAAAAAAUAUACAAUCUUUCUUUAUCGCAAAAGAUUUUAACAUUUACUACAAUAAUGUGUAAUACAUUAUUUUUUAUUAUUAUUAACAUACAUAUCCCGUAACAUUCACAACACAGAUCAUAAUGUAAAUCAUGAUUGAUCAUAAUAUUAUCACAAUCAAUCACAACACAAUCGUAAAUUUCAUAAUCUUAUAUCACAAUAACGGGGAAUAAUUUAGGAGCCCCCACAUGAUACGGUCACAGGAAGACGAGGUUGUAGAAUCAUGGAGAGAGAUUUGGGGAACGGUUGAUGAGAGAGAAGCACAUUAGAUUUUUGUCAACAUGCCCUUUGGCGGAGGUUGACUCAUGUAUUCAAUAAUACUAGGCUAGCUGCACAGAUCUAAAACAAAGAAGCAACCACAGAUGAUUGCAUGGCUGCUCGACUUACUGACUUGUGGCCCCUAUCUAACACAUGUAUUUCCCUUUAAAAAAAAGUAAAAAAGAAAUACAAAAAGUUUCAAUAAUCGUUUAGUUCAUUUUUAUAACUUAAUAAAUUAAUGUAUUACAUACAAAAAGUUUAUUCUAUCUGUAUGCAAUUAAAGAAUCCGUAAGUUCUUGAUUUGGAUCUGAUUCAAAAUUGGGUAUUUGAUUUGCUGUUGAAUCAGAGUAUUUCUGGUUUGAGUGUACUAUUGAUUUGAGAUGGGUUGUGGCUUUUGUAGUUUUCAUUGUGAUUCCUAGUUCAUGUAUUGACAGUAUUGUAGAGGUGGUUUGCGAAUUUUUAGUUGUCAUUUAGAUUUGUUUCCAAAUCGGUAAUAAGGCAUCCUGGGUUUAGUUAAUUUAUGGGUUUGUUACUUUCUUCCAUUUUGAUUGGAUCCAAUUCUGAUCAAGGAUUUGUGAAAUUGAAGGGGGAUUGUCAUUUGGUUGAGUUUGCAUUGUAACGUUUGCCCAUUCCCAUAUAAGGAGAAGCCGUAUGGGAGACUCCGUACGAGGGAUCAGUAAAAAAUUAUUUAGUGGAAACGGAUGGUGUAUGAAACUGAGACAGUGAAAACAUUUUCUGUUCUCAAAAAAUUGUUAGAAAUUACAGUGAGAAUGAAAGUUCAAAGUGGGCUGAAAUUUUCAGCUGAAUAUGGAGUUGUUAAGCAGCGCAAAGGAAUAAUCAGCCUAUAAUGGCUGUAUUUUUAGUGAAUUAAAUCCACUAAUGAGGGGGUUAUGGUGAGUUUUAUAGUCAUGUUUAUGACUGUUUAAGUUUUAUACUUUUUAACUAUAAAAAGAGGAGUUAAGUUGUUUAGAUGAAAAACAUAACAAGAAAGCAUAAAACAUUUUGAGUUUUAUUUAAGUGAAAAAGAGAUAAUCGCAGUAAACUUAUGAGGUGUUCCAAAGUUAGUGGUUCUAACCAUUUUAUCUUGAGAGGAAGAUGUCGACAAUACCCCUCGAUAGGCGGCGAAUCUUUCUUAAGAAAAAGACUACAUUUGCUGGACUCAGCAAAAUCUUUCUGUUUGUAUCUCUUAUUUUAGUUUCUAUUCAUUUCAGUUUUUGUAAUUUCAAUUUUUGUAAAUUAUUUUUAUUUACUAUAAAUUCAGUGUACUGUAAUUUAUUUUGAUUAAUGGAAGUUGUUUUUUGAAAUUCUGUAUUUGUCAAAUAUUUUUUUCAACAAUCUUAAGAAAUAUUUUUUUUAAUUAUCAGCAAAUGAAUUCCAGAAAAUAAUUUGUACAGAAACUAGUAUGAGAUGAAUAAAAGAAAAUUUAUGUUUUCAUGUUGCCCACAUCAGAACGAACAGACUACUAUUUAUCAUGAUAUCAAACAUGAGAAAUAGUACCAGAAAUAUACAGACUGUUAUUAUGAAAAUAUUCUGAAAUAUUUCUAAUAUUUUCGUUAAGAUGUUUUAGACUACUAUUGGUUUUGUUUAUUGCAGAAUUUUAUUUUAUUUUUUCCAAAUAUACAUUUAUUUUUAGAAAAUGUUUCUGCUUUAUUCAGAAACUAUUUUAGUAUUUUAAAGAAAGAAAAUAUUUUCUAUUUUUUUUCCAGAAGCUGUCCAGUUUCUGUAUAUAAAACUGUCCAUUUUUUUUAGAAACUGUUUUUGGAAAGAAACAAAAGUUUGCUGAUUUUUUUUGUUAAAAACAGAACAGUUCUAUUUCUGAAAAAAGAAAAAAAAAUUAUUUUCUGAUUAUUUUUCUGUUAAAAAACAAAACAGUUCUAUUUCUGGGAAAAGAAAGAAAAAAAAAUUCUGAUUAUUUUUCUGUUAAAAAACAAAACAGUUCUAUUUCUGGGAAAAGAAAGAAAAAAAAUUAUGUUUUCUGAAUUUUUUUUCCUGGUAAAAUCAGAACGGUUUUAAUUUUUUCAGAAAUUGUCCAGAUUCAAUAACAGUCCUGCAACUGUUUAUGAAAAAAAUCUUAUAGAAUUCAACCCAUAGGCAUUAACACUGAGUACUGUGCGAACACAAAUAAUCAGUUUUAAGUCACCGUGAGUAUAGUUUGUGGCAACAUGUGGUAAUUACUGUAUUAGCCCAUAACUAUCUAUAAUUACAGUUUUUUGUAGUUAUUGUUUUAGCCCACAUCUUUUGGAGGUUACUGUUGUAACCCAGAUUUUUAGUAAUUACAGAUUGGCCACAAUCUUUACUGUAAUUAUAAACUCUACCUACCUUUCAGGAAAAUUAUAAAAAGCUCCAUAUUUUGAUAAUUAUAGAUUUUACCCUAGUUUUGGAAAAUAACAGAUGUAUCCAGAUUUUUAAAAAAUUAUAAUUUUACCCCAAAUUCUUGAAAAUUAUAAUUUUUUACCCCUGGGUGAUCAACCGUGCACGGUUUGACCUUGAUUAGAAUUUAGAGGCUAUGACAUUAGGUAGUUGUGCACGGUUGACUUUUGUUAAAUAAGUUGUUAAUAUCUCUGUUCAUAUUCAACUAGUUGAAAGUUUUUCUCGACCAAUUGGAAAUGCAGAAAAAGUAUUAUGCUUGACCUAAACUGGUUGGAAAAAUUUUCUCAACAAGUUAGGAGUUCAAUAAGUCAGAUUUUUCCGUGAAUUGAAGGAGAUUAUGUAUAGAUUGUUAAUCUAUUCAUGUUGUCGAUAUUGUUAAAAUUUAUACAUUGAUAUGUGAUUGAUCUUUCUCAAGAAGAAAAAAAAUAUGUCGACAAAAGUUGAUGAAACGAGCACUCAAGUUCCUAUUUCUAGAAGGGCUACUGCUCCAACCCAGGUGUUCUGUCGAUUCUGAUGGCACAUGUGGAUAAACCAGGAAAGUUACGUGGGGCUGAUUUCAAAAGAUAGUAGUAGAAGAUGAUGUUUUAUCUUACGAAGCUGAAUCUCGUUGGAUGCUUGAUAGAAGAAGCUCUAGUUGUGGCUGAAAAUGAGACGGAUAGUCAAAAGGUGAUUGCGCGGGGAUCACUAGAAGAAUGCUAAUUAUCAUUGCCAUAACUACGUUCUUUAAUGCCUUGGAUGACUCUUUAUAGUAAGUGUACAAUGAGGCGAAGUCUGCUAAGAAACUGUGGAAGUCUUUAGACAAAAAAUACAAGAUCGGCAAGAAAUUUAUUGUUGGCUGGUUCCUAGAUUAUGUAAUGCAUGACAUGAAAUCGGUGACAGCUCAAUUCCAAGAGCUCUAGGUUCUCAUUAAUGAGAUCAAGGCAGAAGGAAUGCUUUUGAGUGGGGUAUUUCUAGUGGUUGCGGUCAUCCACAAGCUCCCAGAGACAUGGAAGGAAUUCAAGAGUUAUCUCAUAUUCAAGAACAAGGAGAUAACAUUGGAAGCCCUUUUCUUCAAGCUCAAUGUUGAGAAAGAAAAUCGGGCAAAAAACAAAAGUGUCAAAACCUUCUAUAUGGUCAAGGCUAACAUAAUGGAGCAUGAUCAGUCCUAGAAGAUUAAGAAAUCGAAGGACAAGUGGUCAAGUAACUAGAAAGGCAAGGGUGUCAAAUUGGGAUCAAAAAGUGCGAUUGCCAAGAAGUCUACAAAAAAGUUUCAGGGUACGUGCUUCAACUAUAAUAAGUUUGGGUAUCGUGCUUUUGAGUGUAGAAACCAAUGCAACCUAGAGCUCAUGCACAUAUGACUGAGGUCGUCAAGGAGGUAUACAUGAUAUCAACCUCUUGACAGUGGUUUCUGAAGUGAACAUGGUGGGAUCAAAUCCACAAGAAUGGUGGAUAGACACUGGGGUUAUACACCAUGUCUGUUGGAAUAGACGAAUAUUUACUACCUUCGAACCAGCGGCAAAUGGUUAAAAGAUUUUUAUGGAAAAUUCAGCCACCUCCAACGUUGUAGAGAUUGGAAAAGUAGUCAUGAAAAUGACUUAAGGAAAAGAGCUGACUCUGAACAAUAUGUUAUUCGUGCCCGAAAUCAGAAAAAAUCUGGUGUCGAGUUCUCUAUGGAUCAGACAUGGUUACCUUAUAGUCUUUAAGACAGAUAAGGUCACUCUAUCAAAGGCUGAAAUGUAUGUAGGAAAAAUGUUAUAUGAUCGAUGAUCUAUUCAAGAUGAAUGUAAUCACUGAAAUCCCUACUAUCAAUAAAAAAAAAUUCUGUUGUUUAUGUACUUGAGUCUUCUAUUUUGUGGCAUGGUAGAUUAGGACAUGUUAAUUUUGAUACUAUGCGUAGACUAAUUAACUUAAAUCACAUUCCAGUAUUUUAAAUUGAUAAAAAUCACAAGUGUGAGACUUAGUUGAAGCAAAGUUAACAAAGUCUUCAUUUUAUUUGGUUGAAAAAAUUACCAAACCAUAUUUGUUUUAAUCCACACUAAUAUGUGUGAUUUGAAGUAUGUCCAAACAUCUAAUGUAAAUAAGUAUUUUAUUACAUUCAUUGAUGAUUAUAAUAAAUAUUGUUAUGUGUACUUACUAAAAAAUAAUGAUGAAAUUUUGGACAAAUUCAUUCUUUAUAAGAAUGAAGUAAAAAAUCAACUUAGCAAGAAAAUUAAGGUUGUGCAAAGUGACCGACGUAGUGAAUAUGAAUCACCAUUUGAUGGGUAUUGUAGAAAACACGGAAUUAUCUACCAAAUCACUACCUUAUUCUCCUCAGGAGAAUGGAACUGCUGAACAAAAGAAUCGUACGCUAAAGGAUAUGAUGAAUGCUAUUUUGGUAAGUUCUGGAUAACAUGUAGGGUGAAAUAAUUCUCACCGCCAACUAUAUCUUGAAUAUAAUACCUCGUAAGAAGUUGGACAAAACCCCGUAUGAGUUGUUUAAGAGUAAGAGUCCUACUUAUAACUUUUUACGGACAUGGGAAUGUCUUGCGAAAGUGUUUAUACCUCUUCCUAAGAAGGAGAAUAUAAGUCCAAAUACCAUUGAUUGUGUGUUCAUCGGUUAUGCACAAAAUAGUAAUGCAUAUCGAUUUCUUAUGUAUGAAUUUGUGAUACUAGAUAUUCACAAGAAUACCUACAAGGAGUCUAGGAAUGCGUCAUUUUUUGAACACAUAUUUUUAUAUAGAUCUAUUGGUGAGUCUAGUUCAGUAAAACGGACUCUGCAUCUUGCUAAUGAUAGCAAUCGAGAUCAAGAAGAUGAAUUUGAAAUCCAGCUGAGAUGUAGCAAGAGAGCUAGAACGUUAACAUCUUUUGGUCCAGACUUCCUUACUUAUAUGUUAAAAAUUGAACCUCGGACAUACAAAGAAACAGUGAGCUGUCCUGAAGGUCCAUUGUGGAAAUAGGCUAUUAAGAGUGAGGUUGACUUCAUUUUGCAAAACUAUACGUGAAAAUUGGGGGAUUUGCCACUAGGAAGUAAGCCUUUGGGUUACAAAUAGAUCUUCAAAAGGAAGAUCUAUUUAAAAAAAUUAUGAUAUUAUAACAGAAAGGUACUAGUACCACACACGCAAAAGAAAAAAAAUGCAGCAAAAGAGAGUAUUGAUAUUGUGUGCAUAAUAAAUUAACAAAAAUCUAACACAUACAAAAUAAUACCCCUAUCUCCCCUCUACUUCAUCAUAGUUAGGUGCAUGUGUGCUAACUAAUUGACCAACGUCCUCAGAAGUAUUUUUCGAGAGAUGAGUAGGGCACGUAAUCAACACUAAUUUGGUUAUCGGUUUGCCACAUCUGUUGCAGUUGCAAUGAAGACUGUAGGCUUUCCACCACGUAGUCCAUCGAGGGGUGGUGGUUGGACACCCUAUUUAGACAAACGACUCACUGCUAUCUUAACGUAUUCUUUCAAGGAUUAUUCUGGUGCAAUUUUUCCAUUAAGAUACGGUUCAAUGACAUAGUCUAUAACUUCUAAUUGGAGGAUGUUUUUGAGUAAAUCGAACAGUGGCAACUUACGAUAUCCCACAAUCACCUUCAAGAACUUAUUCAAUGACUCUUUAGAAAUUAGUAUUUGCAAUAACAUGGCACCGAACGAGUACAUGUCAUGUUUUUUUUGUGUGUUUUCGACACACUAGGUCGUCCUUCGGAUCCAUAUCCCCCCAUUUUUCGUAGUACGAUAGAAAUUUAGUUGAGAUCAAGUAAUAGAAAUCUCGCAAGUAUAAUCCUAAUUAUGUAGUAUAUGAUUUUACAAAAAGAAUAUAUUUUUUAAAUUUAAUUUGUGCACAUUUUUUAUUAGGUCCUGAGAUUCGAUUCCCAACACACGUGUAAACAUACAUACAAUUUGUUUUAGAAAAAAUAAUAAAAAUAUUAUAAAACGAAGAAAACUAUCGCAAAACUCCAUAAAACUAUAAGGAUCUCCCAGCAAAAAAGCAACAGAAACAAAAUUCAACAUAUUCAAAACCAAAGUUUCAAAUAUAAAGCGAAUGCAUCAAUAUCGGUGGAUGGGUAUUGGGAAUUUAAAGUAUCAAUACAGAUAUUGUAAGGGGGCAAAAUAUACAAUGACAGAGUCUGGCCUUGCUAAGGUAGGGAGCUCUACCAAGCUAUCAAUAUGAAGUAUACUCGGUGAACCUCUGCGCCGGAGCUCGGUGUAGACACUACUGAAGACAAGCACUGUCCGAGCUAAGGCCAUCGUUACUUAUGGCUAGCGUUAGUUAGCACAUUUAGAAGAAUAAUUGCGCUAGAGUUUGGACGAGGGACAACUACCGGCGACAAGCUCGAGGGAUGUCAAAAGACAGAAGGUAACUUGCACGUUAAAGUUUUUUAUGACAGCCCUAUGCCAGGAUGGGGACAUUUGCAACAUAAUGACAGGCUACCAGCUAGGCCCUAGGAGCAUAGCUGGGUUAGCCACUUACUCACUGACACAACGGUCAAUGCGUAUGAGCAAGCGUCGAGCUGCAGUCUGUCUAAUAAUAAGAUAGCUAGCACGUUAAGGCAUGCGUCGAGCUGUGCCAUAUAAAUUUAACCUUUAUUUUUUAAAAAAGUACACGAAUUAAGUCUUGGAGACAUACUCUCCCUAUAUAAAUACGUUUUUCGGUCAUCUAACUUGAUUGUCGGGGAGCCAUUUCUUGAAAACAGCUUCGGCAGCCAUUCUCACUAUUUUUGUGUUGCAGCUAAACCUUCGCUGACUGGUGACUAACUGCAGCCAUCCGCACAGCCGUAGGACCACUUCAUGUGUCUAUCCUCGAUUUCUUUUCUCUCAUUCUAUAAACUCACACCCCACAGAUAUUUUACAUAUACCAAUGGUGAUGCAUGUGCCCUUACACGCAGUGGCGGAUCCACAGUGUCACAAGAAGGGGCUGUAGCCCCCACGACUUUCAAAAAAUUGCAAAAAUUGUUUUAGAAUUUUUUUUUUUAUACUUUAGCCCACCUAAAAUAUAUUAAAAAUUUUUUUUUACACUUUAGCCUCCUUAUUUAAAAUCCUGACUUCGCCCCUGCUUACACGUAAUAUGUUGUUCACGACUUUCAGAGAGUUACUUGGGACUUGUGUGGGCACAACCCUGAAUCCUCUUCUCAUGUGCUCGGGGACUGUAUCAGAGCUAGGAACAUUAGGCAAACGGUCCAGAUACCUUCAUCCCUCCCAGCUGACAUGGCCACUGAUUGGGCUAACUGGCUUUACUCUAGUUGUCCUGCCUCUUUCAUUCGCUCAAGUGGAAUUUCAGUUGUGUUUCCUUUUAGGCUAUGUUUGGAUGGCAGGCAUCAUGCACUACGAAUGAGAAUCAUAUUUUCUGAAAUCUUAAUUUUAUUGUUAGGAAUGUGAUACUUAAGUAAACUUAUUCAGUUGUUUGGUUUAUUCAGGAAUUCUAUUUAGAAAAAAAUUAUAAAUUUUAUUUAAGCGUUUGAUUUAACCAAUUUAAAAAAUAGGAAUAGAAUUGGUAUUUACUUUCUUUUUUGAAAACAUCAUUUUCGAUAAUAAAUUAUUUUUUUUAUUUUAGAUGUUACUUUUUUUUCUAAUUAAUAUCUUUUAGUUUUUCGAUUAGUCUUAGUUAAAAGAAUUAGAAAAGUAAAAAAAAAUUAACACAUAACUUAGUAAAAUAAAAAAUUAUUCUAAAUAAAUUGUAAAAUUAAUCAUCUAAAAACUUCAAAUAGAUUAAUUUAGAUUUUUUUUUUACUUUUUUAAUUCUCUAAUUAAGACAAAUCAAAAAAAAUGGACCAAAAUUUUUUAAAAAAAUACUAAAGAAAAAAUAUAUUCAAAACAUUAUUAAAUAAAAAAAUUAAAAAAAAAUGUUAAUAAAAAGUAAUUUAUUUAAAAUUAAUAAUGUAAUUGUAAAAUAAUAUGGGUUAUAUUUAUAGAGUUAUAUUUAGGCGGUGACAUAAUUAAAAAAUAAUACACAUCAUUUUUUUAAUUGUUGGAUUAAACAGUAAUCCAAGAUUCCUGGGGUUGAGUAAUGAAUCACAUUCCUACUCAGUAUGAAAAUUUUAUUCCCAUUAGAAUGAGAGUCCAUUCAUGCCACAUCCAAACGACGAUAUUAUGGGGACCAGAAAUAAUAAUAGCAUUUUGCCUCGAGAUUUAUGUCAUCCAAACAUAACGUUACGUUUUGGGCUAUUUGGAAUAAUCGCAACAAAACUAUGUUUGACGCUAAUUUCUGGGGCAACCCAAAUAAAAUCAGUCCAUCCACUUUGCGAUUGGCAGCGGAAUGGUUUUUCAUUACUAAAUCAAAACCACCUUUGAUGGCUAAAGAAAAUUUGAUGGUUCAAUGGUUACCUCCUCCACCAAAUGUUUUCAAAUUAAAUACUGAUGGAGCUUCAAAAGGAAAUUCUGGCAGUGCCACUACUGGUAACCUCAUCCCAGAAUUAAUCAUGUAUAGCUGGGGCAGCCGACAUCACCUAAUCUAAUAACCUCCGGAGUUUAACUAUAGGAACAAAUUAAAAUUUAUAAUUGUAAUUGUAAUAAAUUAAGCUCUAUAGUUUUAAUUCCGUAAUAAUUUAAAUUAUUCGUUAGUCUUCGUCCACCUAAAGUUAACGAAACCAUCUAGUUUCAAUCCAAAAUGCACUAAAACCACGUCUUAUAGGGUUUUUUACUUUUUAAAAUCCUAACCAAACCA